UUCUUUCUGGACAAUCCUUUUUAA
rnacentral:misc_RNA from 1 species